rnacentral:misc_RNA from 1 species
GUCUUGGGUUUGAUCCUGUUGGAGGGUGGUUUGUGGUAUUGGUGCUUUAGGAACAGUUCUAAAUUUGCAUCAUUGUCAUCUCAAUAUGCACUUCUUGAAUAUGCCUCUGGUGCCCCUGUGCAGUUCACAUUCAAUCAGCUUCAGCGGGCAACCAAGGGGUUUAAGGAAAAGCUUGGUGCAGGAGGAUUUGGGGCUGUUUAUCGGGCCGUUCUGGCUAAUAGGUCUGUUGCUGCAGUGAAGCAGCUGGAAGGAAUUGAGCAAGGAGAGAAGCAGUUCAGAAUGGAGGUUGCUACUAUUAGUAGCACACACCAUUUGAAUUUGGUGAGAUUAAUU